rnacentral:lncRNA from 1 species
GACUUGAUCUAGUUUUCAGUAUUUAAUUUUCAAGAGCAAAUAUAUUCUUUAUUAUGAUUGGGAAUUAGGGAAGAUUAUUUAAAGAAGAAAAACGCAAAAUGUUUCCAAGAAAAAAUAUAUCUACUUGUAUGAGACCAGUGAAGAGUCAGUAAGCUAUCAAAAGGAAAGUCUCUCCCCCAUUUCCUUGAGUGGUGACAUGGACCAAUGCACCUGGACUUCUCCUGCAACUCCAGCCCUCAGACAAGGGCAAGGGCUCAUCACCCCUGAAAGG